rnacentral:rRNA from 2 species
CACAUGACUCUCGGCAAUGGAUAUCUCGGCUCUCGCAUCGAUGAAGAGCGCAGCGAAAUGCGAUACGUGGUGCGAAUUGCAGAAUCCCGCGAAC